CACGCCCUCUCCGACUUCCACGGAUAGAUCCUCCACGUCCUCCGCGGCGUUUCUCGUCAAGGGCGUCGAAGAGGAGGCGUCGGUGAUUAUGCGAAUCCGGACGCGCAAAAACACACAUAUACCACACACGCGCGCGCACUCUCUCUCUCUCUCUCUCUCUCUCUUUCUUAUUGUCUCUUUUUUCUGUCUAUCUUUGGGAGAAAGAACACACAAAAAUCACCGGAGAAAGACGGGCGGAAAGAGAGAGGCGAGAGAUAUUCGGCUGUGCCCGCAGCUUACAAGAGGCAGGAUCGGAUUUUAGCGCGCGCAGCACGCGCUCCCGCGAGCUCAAGUCACGGCGGUUUCAACUUUUACUUUCAGCUCUUACACAACACGGCCCGCUCUUGCUGAUACGUAAGCGGCGAGCGUGCGGCGAGUCCUGGUCUCCGCUUCGAGGCUUCUUCUGCUUCUUCUUCCUCUUCUCUUUCUCUUCCUCAAUUUUCUCUUCUUGUCCCUUUCUUCCUUUUUUUUUCUCCGCUGCUCCUUUCUCACUUCCUUAUAUCUCUUCUUCGUUGACAAGCGUCAAUCAUCGCAAGAUCAGAAUGAACUUUCGAAAGACAGAGCUAAGUCUGACACGCAAGCUGGAACUGUCAAAAGUCUUUCGGACUUUCUUUUCUCGCAACUCUUCUCUCUUGGACGUCUUGGAAAGCACGUGCGCCGACGAAAACACGUGCGAACAAACACACGUGUCACACGGGUAGUAUCCUCAAAUAUGUCACUCGCAAAAAUGUCAAAAAUGACAAUACAACGAGACGCUCGUUCGAAAGGGUUCACAUUGAAAAAUCGUUCCGAUCACAAGUGACAAUAGGAGAUCCGAACGAGUUGAUCCCGCGGGAUGUCCGGAGAAAAGGAGACACUUAGAUCGCGUAGCACGUGUCCUCACGCGACGGACAGCGUGUGAGGAUGCUUGUUGUCGGUUUUACUCGUGAUAGCCUGUAACGCACUUCCGCGCUCGCACAGGCGGUGACACUCUCGAUUAGAACGACGUAUAUUUUCUGCAAGUAUGUUUACUGUCACUCUUUCUCUCUCUCUCUUUUUCUCUCUCUCUUUCUCUCUCCACCUCCCUCUUUUUUAGUUCUCUCUCUCUCUCUCUCUCUCUUUCUCUCUCUUUCGCUCCUCUUGUCAGAGGACUUCUUCAGGGAGAGAGGGUUCUCUUCCGGUCUCCGCGGUGUGUCUCACUGCUCUUCGCUCCGUCGUAACUUUUGCGCAAAGCCGGGACCCUCUCUCACUCUCUCUCUACCUAUCUCUUUCUCUCAAUCAAUCUCUCUUUCUCUCUCUUUCUUUCUCUCUCCCGUUCUCACUCUCCCCCUCGCGCGUUCGCGCUCCCUCUUUCUCUGUCUGGUCCUAGGUAAGCGCGAAGAGAGGUAGAGUCGGACGGUCGGCAGGAGGUGGUGGCGAUGGUGGUGGUUACCGGCACGUUGGUAGUGGUGGCACAUCAGCGAUACUCUAAUGUAUCCAAUGAGUGCAGCGACAUACGCCGGUAGUGGUGGUGUGGCGACGGUGACAGUGGUAGUUGUAGCGGCAGUGUGGCGGAUCGGUAGUGGUAGAGAGGAGGCCAGGUGGGCCCCUUGGGCUUACAAACAAAUUCAGAAAGGGUUGAGGGUCCGUAAAGCGCGUCUCUCUCCAUCGAGAACUCACGACGAUAUACUCUGCGUCCAGAAAGGAGGAGGCCGUACGAGUCCCAAUGCGACCGACGGCUAUACUUAGCGCGCCAGACGAAUCUCGUUCGAGGGCCGCGUGGAAAGGAGGUCGUGGAACAGCUGAUGCAGCGAGUCCCGUGUGACGGCGCCUUUACGCGGUCUUCCUCCUUCCCGCCUUUCGCGUCUUCAUCUGUAGAAAACAGCUGACGAAACGACGCUUGAAUCGCAAAAUUUAUUUGAUUCUUUUAAGACCUUUAUCCAGACGUCGUACACUUAACGAUGCACUUGGGAAUGUCCGACAUCAUAUCAUGUAUUCAUAACUUUGUUAAUUAAUUUUUUAGAUUUAUAAUAUCUGUGCACACAAAUAUCUGCUAAGGCACAUAAAUUACGCAUGACGAGUUUACAUUACUUAACGUAGUAAAUAAUUUAACAAACAUACGAGAAUAUGUAUUAGUGCGUGAUUAUUUUAGUAAAAAUAAUGUUUUAUAGUAAAGAAAUUUAAUUCAAUACAAUUGUAAAAUUCUUCGAUGUACGUAUAUCAAGUAUAGUUAAUAUAAAAGAAUCAAUAUAA